GACGAAGGUGGCGAGCGUUGUUCGGAAUCACUGGGCCUAAAGCGCACGUAGGCGGCGACGUAAGUUGGGUGUGAAAUCCCUCGGCCCAACCGAGGAACUGCGCCCAGUACUGCGUUGCUUGAGGAUCCAAGGGGUGCAUGGAAUUCCCGGUGGAGCGGUGAAAUGCGUAGAUAUCGUCUGGAACGCCGAAGGUGAAAACAGCUCGCUGGGGCUGCGCUGACGCUGAGACACGAAAGCCAGGGGAGCGAACGGG
rnacentral:rRNA from 1 species